AAAGCCCCCUGUUUCCAACAUAAUUUCAGGAAAAGCUGAGGUUUUAUUGCAGUGAAUUUUAUCACAGUUGUUUGUGGAUUUGUUAAGAAUAUAGAUGAUAGAUAAUGUUUUCAGGGAAGAAGCUAUUUAGAUUAAGCAGAAGCCUAUAUACAACGAAAAUAUUUCACCAAAGUAGUAGAUGCGAAAGAUGCAAUUUAUUACGAAGGACUACCAGCAAAAAAACAAUUUCUAGUAAUAAACAGAGAAGCUGUUGGAUGUCAGCAACAUUAGAUGACAGAUAUAAAAUGCAAAUUUUCCAAAACAGCAGGGAAAGGGAAUUAACAGAGAACACUAGCAGCCAUCUUCAAAUAUCUAGACCUGUGGACAAGGAUUAUCUAAGUAUCGACGAGCUUGUGUCAAUUUUAAGAGAUAAUUCUUGCGAAGAUCUUUGUGUUAUUAAGGUAGAUGUUACAAGAGUCCAAUUCCAUUAUGUAGACUAUUUUAUUGUUGUAAGUGGACGCUCUGUGAGGCAUUUGAAGUCAAUGGCAAACGCACUGUGUGCCAAGUUUAAGGAAAAGGUUAGAGAGAGGAGAGGGAAGUCUACAGCAGUUGUUGAAGGGGAACAUUGCAAUGAUUGGAUGGUUGUUGAUAUUGGCAACAUUGUUGUCCACUUCAUGAUGCCAGAAACCAGGGAAAUUUACGAACUGGAGAAGCUUUGGACUUUAGGACCGUAUUUUGACGAUCAGCUGGUAGAAAUGGCAAAUCUCCCUGACAAAUCUGAGAUGGUGUUGCCAUUUAAGUCUAAAUUUACAAGCGGGAAGCGGCUUUCAAAGGGGAUGAAAUGUGACUAACAUGACGUGUGGUUGCAUAAAAUUGAAUGUACGCUUCUGCAGCAAAGAUGCUGAUGUACCAAUGCAUCAAUGUCAAAAUGUAUCAAGUAUUGAUUUGGGCCUACUGUUUCAUGGCUGUAUUUUUGUAUUUCUAACCUUUAGAUGCCAAAAAGAAACCACUAUGUUGUGAUGCGUGUCCUAACUGAAAUGAUUUUUUAUGUGUUCUAGAUCUAUUUAUUCCUAAAGCCUGUUCGAAACAAAGAGGUUUUAAUAAUACAUUAAAAUAUUCAUUGCUCUAAAGCUCACUCCUCCCAUUCAUUUUACUCAUUUUUUCAGUAACAUUUUCUUUCCCGUUCAAAUUAGUAACUCAACAGCCUGAAGCAAAGUACUGCGCUGUUCUACCAAGGGGUGGUGUUGGGGCCUGUAAGUUCAAGUGUUCUCUCUAAAAUCGGUUUUUGAGCCAGAAAAAGAAACUGCUUUGCAUAAUCUAGCUUGAAUUUAAGAAUUUGAAGAUCUCAUAUUUACCAGUUCUCUACUCUAAAAUAUAGGAUCUUUCAUUGAAUGUAUUGAUUAGAUUUGCAUGGGGCAAAGGUCAUACAACAUUUCAUGACACCUCUGUCAAUAGAAAGCAAAGACUUAGUAGCGAGCCGCGUACAAUUUCAUCUAUUCUUAAGCUUGACAUCCACUUUUAGCUACUUUGACCUUGUUUGCAACCGAUGCAAUCGGAAUAUUUUGGUGCAAGAAACAUUACUCCUGAUUCGAAACUCCCUGUUUAUGGUCGAUACCAAACCUCCAUAAAGUGGAUUGACAGCAUUCUUUCCCAUAAGUCCAAAGCCUUUAGAGUCGAUGGCCACCACUUCAGUCCUUACACAAUAUAUGCUGGUGCUCCACAGAGUUAUAUCGUAUCUCCUGUUUUAUUCAUUCGUUUCAACAAUCAUCUACUUUCUUCGACCUUUAUAAGUAUCAUUCUUUCGCUGAUGACACCUAAACUUUUUAGGGUCCUUUUGGUCACAACACAAUUCACUGAUGAACACUACCUUUCAAAGAAAUGUGAGAAGUGGGUAAAACUUUCUCAUUGAUUUUUCUCAUCCAAGUAUCUGUUAGCCUUUUACAAAUCGGAAUUCGUCCUACUUUAGAUUACUGCUCUCAUGUUAAUCGUACCGCUUCUAAAUCUUCUCUAGGUUUUCUUGACACAAUCUAUUCAAAGGCCAUUUGCCCCAAGUAUCAUCAAAUAACGUUUUCAUUGGUAUUGAUUGUUGAAUUUUUUCUUUUCGGCCAUUUUGAUAACUGGGUUAUCGAUUUUAAGAAAGCUCGUUUUUCAUUCAAACAAGAGUGUUUGUUCAAAUCGCGUCUAUAGAUUCUAAUUCGAUUGUUUUUCAAGUCCUUUUUCCAGGCUGUUUUGUUACAUCUGCGGCAAAUCGUUAUAAUGAUUUAUAGCUUAUAUUUGAUCUGUAGUCAACGAAAAAAUUUAAGCAUGGCUUUAUCCUAUUUUCUGGUAGUUCACACACACAGUAAGGAAGGUAAAGUAUCUAAACCUAGAAAAAAAUAAUUGGAUAAAAUGAAUACUUUCUCAAAAAAACUUUUCGAAAUAUUUGGAUGUAUUCAUUAACGAAAAGUCAAAUUCGAAACAUUCUUAUAAGUCAAGUUGAUAUAAAACAUUGAAAAGCAUCAGUAUUCUUCUCUAUAUAUUAAUGAAAUAUGUUUCCUUAUAAAUUUUAAGCAUUUGUUCGUUUUUCUAGCCACAAGUGCUCUAUGCUCUGCUCCAUGAUCAACACUAAUUUUCGAUGCAGUUGUUGCUAAGCGGUUUGAAUGAUAAAAUCUGCUUAAUACAUUGUUCAUGGUAACCCAAUAUGGGAAUUAGGAAUUAGGCUACUUAACUUUGAGCCAGAAAACUCAUGUUUCGUAUAGUUAAAUAAAAUAAAUUGCUGUUUGGCAUAGAUUUAAACUUGAUUUGGCUUUUUUAUUAGAAAUGUAAUUGCGUUACAACGGCACAUGGUGCCCAUCCUCAAGAGCCCCAUCAGCGUUAGAUUUUCAUUAUGAAUUGUCGGUCAAGGGCAAAGGUCUUGCAACGUUUUAUAAACCCGUUUAACUGAACCGCAUGAACACAAGAAUAUCGAUAGAAGAGCUCCACUACUGAAUAUACAGUGCUACGUAGGUUUGGAAAGUUGAUGUAUUUUUGUGUAGAGUCUGGCCAAAAUGUCUCAUAUCCAGCCUUUCGUAAAGUCAAGCAAAUCAGUGCCUGAAUCAUUGAAGAAGACCAUUUUAACAGCUUGCUAGAUUAUGCUUAUUUUAAGCAGAAUUGAAAUCGGCGUGUAGUUGACGAAGUGUCUAACAUCUCAACUUUUAAACAUUUCUAGGAAAUCUUCCUACGUAAAGUUUGUUGUGAUGAUGGCAGCUCAGCAACUUUACAUACUUAAUUAGUUUUUUGGCUUUGCUUUCACCAAAAUGCUAAUUAUGUGCUAGCUCAAAAGUCUUAUUUAGGGACGCGUCGAAGUAUCUACAACAGGGGGGGGGGGAGGAUAUGUGGCUUUAUCCAAAAAAGAUUUCAUAGCCCCUUUAAUAAAGGACAGAAAAAUUCCAUGGCCCGUUGUGAAAAGACAAAUGUUUUUCGUGGCCCAUGUCAAAACUUCAUGGUUUAUUUUUCAGCUUGCUGAUAGCAUUUAGUUAUCUAGAUGUUUCAUUUUGUUGGUAUGUUUUCAUCAUGACAUUAAAAUUGUUGCCAUCAAAAUCUUGAACCAUCAUUUACACUCAUUCACGCUGGUCUACAUGAAACGAAAUAUGUAUCUACAUGAAACGAACUCUGUUGUAGCUUGUGGUGACACGACCACUUUUUGUUUUUAUGAAAAUACUCUCAGGAACAAAGUCAUUUUCGAUAUUUUCUCUUUCACCAUCACUGUCAUUAUCUCCCCUUUUACUGUCACCAUCGUUACUGGCUGUUGCACGAAUCACAUCAUCCUCUGUGCUGCUGCUAUAAUCUCCAAAAUUGCUACCAUUUCCAUUUUCUGGAAGAUCAUCUUUUUCCAUUUCUGUUGCUGGUUUGUCUAUAGCAUCAUCUCUUGCUGCAUUCACUGGAACAAGCGUUGUUGCAAUAUGUCCUUUAAUGAAAUUCACCUUUGCGGUCUUUUUAAGCUUCACAGCAUGUUUCAGUUGAUAAUGAUGAAGGUUUUUAUCCAGAACAUUUACUGUCUGUUUCUUUAGCAAGCCAUUGUGAAACAAAUCAACCCAAUAAAACUCAUCAAGCUACUUUUCUUUGUUUGCCUCCCGAUUUUGCUUUCUCACAUCCUGGCGCUUUUCAUUUCGUAUUCUUUUACCAUCCAAGUGAUUUAGAUAGUCUGGCAGUCUAAUUUAGAUAGUUAGUUAGUCUGCCUGUUUCAAACAUAAUUUCAAAGGUUGAGAAAAUGCUUGACCCCAAUAACAAAGAUGUGGAUGGCAAUGCCAUCAAUGUCACCAAAUAUUCAUCUGCACUUAUAAGGAUCAGUGUACGUGAUGUUCACUGUGUUGAAAAUACUAAACUCAAGGUAGAGACAUUUCUGCAAGAACUUUCAGACGUCAAGGAAACCACUGAAUGUUUAAAAAUGUUUAAAACCGCUGUUAGAUCAGAACAUAAAGAGCGCCUUCAAAACCAUCUUGUAUCUCAAGGUACCGUUCUUUCCUUCAUCUUUGACCACUCUCUUCCUAUAGCCUCUAAAAUAUGGACCACGGCUCAAAGCAACAUGCCCAAAAACAUUUACAGUUUAACUAUCAAAAAUCUUAGCAACUCCCUUGCCGCGCGAAAAAACCUAUCUAAAUGGAACUCUGCAUUAAACUUCCUAGCACAGUCUUUUAGGGCUAUACCUAAUUGCUCUCUUUUACAUAGACCUUUUAGGUUAUCUCACACCCUCUAUCAUAACAGGAGACUCUUUCCGUCCUGAUCUACUUCUAGUCACUUCUGACCAUCGCCUAUUCAUACUCGAGCUUACAGUAGGAUACGAAACUAACUUGGAUGUUAAUGCUGACCGCAAAAGAGAGAAAUACUUGCAUCUCAUUCACAGCCUAAGCUCAGCCUAUUCUUCUAUCAUGUUUGUUAAUCUUUCUAUCAGUUCCCUAGGUAUCUUUGGUCUCUCCUGCUCCUCUUUCAUGUGCAACGCUCUAGAUAUCAGCGAGAAUCAUCUCCGCUUCAUGAUUUCCAAACUAUCCAACUUAACUAUCCGUACUACCUAUUACAUUUUCUGCCGCAGAAAUAAAUCUUGGAAUAAUCCUGAACUUCUUCAAUUCUAACGAUCUCUGCUACUGACAACUUCUAAAACAAACAAUGACGAACACACUUUUUCCUUUUUUGUUAAUUUAUUUUGUUUGUGCUUUUAAUAGUCUUUUUCUUUGUAAACCCAGGCUAGCCAAUUGCAAAUUACUCUUUUAAUAGUGAAGUUGGUAAUUGUAUUUUAAUUGAAUUGAAAAUGAAAAGUUUCCAUUAUCAUUAUAUAUUCAUAUACACUCCCCUCACGAAAGUACCCGGACAGUUCGAAGAUCGAUGGCGCUUUCAGACAAAAACAAAUUUAGGCUGGCAAAAACGACUUUUUAACUUAGUGAAAAUGAUUUUUUGAGAAACCCCCCAAAAUAUGAGAAACCUUUGCGCUCAAGCCUUACGCAAAUCAACUGAUGUCAAAUAGGCGAAGAACAGCAAAGUCAGGUGACUUGGACUCAGUUAAAAUGGGCCAAUAAAGCAUGGUAAUUUUUUACAAACUGGUUCUUGAGACACACAUAUUUUCGAAUAAAUAGAAAUUCAACGUGUUUACUCUCAGUUUGGAAAAAUGUUAGCAUAGAGAUGCCACCGAUCGAUUAUAAAACUUCCUUGCAAUUUCCUUGAAAGUUUUAUUGUUUAUGAACAUUUAAUGCAGUUUUGCGUAAUGAUGCAAACCAGUUUUGAUGCAAAUUUGGUUAGGGCUGAACGCUCAGACGUUGGUGUCGCGAGAGCUCUUGCUCUUUUUAACCGUGAACAAUUUUUUAGACUUCUUGUUUUACAAAUCUUUUUGCAUAUCUCGAAAGCGGCAGUCUUUGGGCAUUCAAUGAUACUAGCAAUUUAAUGAUAGCUUUUUUCCAUCAUUGUGGUAAAACAUUAUUUCUAGACACUGCUCAGAAGUCAAUUCAUGUCUUUCGGUCGCUACCAUCUUCAGGAAAAACCCUCACAGAGUUUGCUGACAUAUCAAUAAAAUUAUACUUUUUCGACGAAUACAUAGAUUAAAGGCCAAAAAAACGUCAAGAAAAAAUUCGAGGAAAUUGAUUAAAACGUUUUCAUGAAAACUGACACUGAAAUUUGUAAACAAAUUCCUCUAACAACAGAUUCGCAACUGAAUUCGAAACUGUCCGGAUACUUUCGUGAGGGGAAUGUAUAUAAUUUUUUCCAUUAUUUGCUGGCUAUGAACAUUUUAUCUUUUAACACUUAUAGCAUAAUUCUGUUUUGUUAACUUCAGUAUAAAAUUUUUUUCUUUUUCAAACUUCAAAUAAAACUGCUGUAACAUUUAAGGCUAUAUACUUUUAUAUUGUUAUUUAACCUUGCACAAGAGGGCACAGGACUCGAUUACCGAUUUGGUUUAUCCCAGUGCCAUGGACAACAUUUUGGCAUGUUUUUUGAAUUAUUAGUUUAUGUUUUUGAUUUUUCCUCUCUUAUUUUUAAUUUUAUAUUACAUACGUUACAUUGUAAAUGAUGUUGUUGAAUAACAUGAAAUUGAAAUUAAAAAAAAUUGCACCAAACAAGUUUUCGUUUUGCAAAUACUGGUUAUUGGGCACCCUAUAUCAUUGGCACCCUGGUAUUCAGGGUUACAACGAGGCUGGGCCCAGUCUUCUUGGCUUUUGUUUACACCCUUCCACGUUUUAGUGUUUUCAAAGCUAUUCCUGGCAAUUUAGGUACAACGAUUGUGGAAAAGAGUCCGGUGGAACUGAUUAUAGAAACGACUUGAACAUGGCAUCUUGUUUGUUUUCUCGUGGACGGCUGUUGGUACCAAGACUGAGUACUGUCUUGCGGCCCCAACUUUGUUUCAAAUCUGAAUCUGCCAAGGAAGCAUUCAGGAAAAUAUUCCCACGCAUGGGGGCAGGUAAGCUGAAGGCCAGGUACGAUGCAAACAGUUAUGGACAAACAGUUGGCCCUGAGUACCCUUUUGACAUCGAGAAAACACCCGAAGGAAAGUUGAAACGAGAGAAGUCAAAGGGAACAAUGGGCUCUGUUACAGUGGAGGAGAUUGUUGAUAUACUAAGAAGUAAUGGCGGAGAAAAUAUUAAAUUGGCGAAGCUGCACCAAGAUUUACAUUAUGCGGAUCAUUUUGUUAUUGUCAGUGCGAAGAACACAGAACAUUUAAAGUCGAUGACACAAGAGCUUGCAUCAAAGCUCAUUGCUGCACACCAAGGAGAUGCAAUACAUGUAGAGGGGCUGGGAAGCUUUGACUGGAUGGUUGUUGAUGCAGGUCAAGUUGUUGUUCAUCUGUUCCUGCAGCACAUCAGAGAUGAUUACAAUAUAGAUGAAGCUUGGGCAGAAAAAGAAGGAUCUGCUGUCUGAAACAAGUAUAUAUUGAAAAAAUCCAUAUUCUUGCAGUUGAAAAAACACUCACACUUGCUGCUCUUAGCCUAGCUUCAGCUUUAGAUACCUCUUGUUGUUAAAUUGUAAAGGAGACAUGAAUUCUUUAGCUUGAAGAUAUGUAAAAUUUUACAAUAUUUUGAAUUCAUUAAUAAACAUUGUCAAACAAGAAAAUUUGCUCAACACACAAAUUUUAUAUUACAUAAAUAUUCACUUUAUCAA